AUGUGUGUACCAAAAGACCAUGGAGGAAUGGGCUUCCGAGGUAUACACUGUUUCAAUUUGGCUUUGUUAGCCAAACAAGCGUGGCGCAUGCUUGAUAACCCUGAUUCCCUAUGUGCCACCAUCUUGAGAACUAAAUAUUUUCCGGAUGGCGACCUAAUGAAUGCAAGUCUAAAAAAGGGUUCUUCUUUUACUUGGCAAAGCUUUAUGGCGGGAGUU
rnacentral:rRNA from 1 species